rnacentral:rRNA from 1 species
AUACGUAGGGGGCGAGCGUUGUCCGGAAUGAUUGGGCGUAAAGGGCGCGUAGGCGGCCCGGUAAGUCUGGAGUGAAAGUCCUGUUUUUAAGAUGGGAAUUGCUUUGGAUACUGUCGGGCUUGAGUGCAGGAGAGGUAAGUGGAAUUCCCAGUGUAGCGGUGAAAUGCGUAGAGAUUGGGAGGAACACCAGUGGCGAAGGCGACUUACUGGACUGUAACUGACGCUGAGGCGCGAAAGUGUGGGGAGCAAACAGGAUUAGAUACCCGGGUAGUCCACACUGUAAACGAUGAAUGCUAUGUGUAGGGGGUAUCGACCCCGUCUGUGCCGCAGGCAACACAAUAAGCAUUCCGCCUGGGGAGUACGGCCGCAAGGUUGAAACUUAAACGAAUUGACGGGU